rnacentral:pre_miRNA from 1 species
UUCAGUGAUGUCAGAUCUUUUGUCGGAAUAGAAGCAGAUUCCUCCUUCUAUUCAGACAAAAGAUCUGGCUACACUGAA